rnacentral:rRNA from 1 species
AUUGAACGCUGGCGGCAUGCCUUACACAUGCAAGUCGAACGGCAGCACGGGUGCUUGCACCUGGUGGCGAGUGGCGAACGGGUGAGUAAUACAUCGGAACAUGUCCUGUAGUGGGGGAUAGCCCGGCGAAAGCCGGAUUAAUACCGCAUACGAUCCACGGAUGAAAGCGGGGGACCUUCGGGCCUCGCGCUAUAGGGUUGGCCGAUGGCUGAUUAGCUAGUUGGUGGGGUAAAGGCCUACCAAGGCGACGAUCAGUAGCUGGUCUGAGAGGACGACCAGCCACACUGGGACUGAGACAUGGCCCAGACUCCUACGGGAGGCAGCAGUGGGGAAUUUUGGACAAUGGGCGAAAGCCUGAUCCAGCAAUGCCGCGUGUGUGAAGAAGGCCUUCGGGUUGUAAAGCACUUUUGUCCGGAAAGAAAUCCUUGACUCUAAUACAGUCGGGGGAUGACGGUACCGGAAGAAUAAGCACCGGCUAACUACGUG